rnacentral:rRNA from 1 species
CCCCAGUAACGGCGAGUGAAGCGGCAGCAGCCCAAAUUUGAAAUCUGGCCCCGGACCCGAGUUGUAAUUUGAAGAGGAUGCUUCGGUCGCGCACCCGGCCCAAGUCCCUUGGGACAGGGUGCCGCAGAGGGUGAGAGUCCCGUACGCGGCCGGGUGCCGCGCCCAUGCGAAGCUCCCUCGACGAGUCGAGUUGUUUGGGAAUGCAGCUCCAAGCGGGAGGUAUAUUCCUUCCAAGGCUAAAUACCGGCCAGAGACCGAUAGCGCACAAGUAGAGUGAUCGAAGGAUGAAAAGCACUUUGGAAAGAGAGUGAAACAGUACGUGAAAUUGUUGAAGGGGAAGCGUUUGCGGCCAGACCCGGCGGCGGUGGCUCAGCCGGUCAGUGCCCGGUGCACUCCUCCGCCGCCAGGCCAGCAUCAGCUCGGGCGGCCGGACAAAGGCGACGGGAACGUGGCCCCUCUCGGGGGGUGUUACAGCCCGUCGCACAAUACGGCCAGCCUGGGCUGAGGACAGCGUUCGCUAGGAUGCUGGCGUAAUGGCCGCCAACGGCCCGUCUUGAAACACGGACCAAGGAGUCUAGCACACGUGCGAGUGUUUGGGUGCCAAACCCAGGCGCGCAAUGAAAGUGAACGGAGGUGGGAGCCUUUUGGCGCACCAUCGACCGAUCCCGAUGUCUUCGGACGGAUUUGAGUACGAGCACGCGUGCUGGGACCCGAAAGAUGAUGAACUAUGCCCGGGUAGACUGAAGCCGCCCGAAAGGGCGGUGGAGGGUCGCAGCGGUUCUGACGUGCAAAUCGAUCGUCAAACCUGGGU